rnacentral:rRNA from 1 species
GACGAACGCUGGCGGCGUGCUUAACACAUGCAAGUCGAACGAAGUGGCGAACGGGUGAGUAAUACGUGGGUAAACUGCCCUCCUCUUUGGGAUAAGCCUUGGAAACGGGGUCUAAUACCGAAUAAAGGGGGAUGGGCUCGCGGCAUAUCAGCUUGUUGGUGGGGUGAUGGCCUACCAAGGCGGUGACGUGUAGCCGGCGUGGGAGGGUGACCGGCCGCAUUGGGACUGGGAUACGGCCCAGACGCCUACGGGAGGCAGCCGUGGGGGAUAUGGCACAAUGGGCGAAAGCCUGGUGCAGGGACGCCGCGUGGGGGAUGAAGGGUUUCGGGUUGUAAACCUCUUUCGAUAUCGAACGGGUAGGUGUAGAAGAAGCGCCGGCUAACUACGUGCCAGCAGCCGCGGUAAUUC